rnacentral:lncRNA from 1 species
UUGGAUCUGAAUUUUAUUUUAGAACGGUUUCUAGUUCAUAAUCAUAUGAUAUGUAGAUACAUGUGUAAAUCUAAAAUUUAAUUUGAUCUGAUUCAUGAUUCAUAUAUGAGAUAUAUGAUUGUAUAUUUAGGUUAAAAAAAUAUUUUUAAUAUGAUUUAUAAUUUUUAUAUGAGAUAUAUGAUAUCAUGUUAUGAUCUAAAUUUGUUUAGAUCUGAAUUUUACACACAUAUAUGAGAUAUAUGUUUG